UGCAAACAGGAGGGGGUGGUGGUGACCACAAGGCAAUUUACCUACAUUUCAUUUCAUUUGUUUUAUUGUCCCCUACAAGAAUGUAAUAUGGUUUAAGGGUGGGGAUCUGGACCGUUUACAAGAUAAUAGCACAUCCUCCAAUUGAACAGGGUGGGGCAACCCCCAGGAACUUCCCUUUAAUUUCAUUUGAUUACCUUUAUUGUCCCAUACAAGAAUAUAUAUGGUUUAGGGGUGGGGAUCUGGACCGUUUACAAGUUUUCAAACAAGAGGGGGUGGGGUGACCCCCUAGGGACUUCCCUCUUAUUUCAUUUCAUUUGUUUUAUUGUCCCCUACAAGAAUAUAUAUGGUUUAGGGGUGGGGAUGUUGACUGUUUACAAGUUUUCAAACAAGAGGGGGUGGGGUGACCCCCUACAGAAUUCCCUUUUAUUUCAUUACAUUUGUUUUAUU
rnacentral:lncRNA from 1 species